AUACGUAGGGGGCGAGCGUUGUCCGGAAUGACUGGGCGUAAAGGGCGUGUAGGCGGCUGGAUAAGUCUGGAGUGAAAGUCCUGCAUUCAAUGUGGGAAUUGCUUUGGAGACUGUCUGGCUUGAGUGCGGAAGAGGUAAGUGGAAUUCCCAGUGUAGCGGUGAAAUGCGUAGAGAUUGGGAGGAACACCAGUGGCGAAGGCGACUUACUGGGCCGUAACUGACGCUGAGGCGCGAAAGCGUGGGGAGCGAACAGGAUUAGAUACCCUGGUAGUCCACGCUGUAAACGAUGAGUGCUAGGUGUUGGGUAGCGAUACUCAGUGCCGAAGUAAACACAAUAAGCACUCCGCCUGGGGAGUACGGUCGCAAGACUGAAACUCAAAUGAAUUGACGGGG
rnacentral:rRNA from 1 species